UAAAUAUUAGAUGGCGCCACUGUUAUUUUUAAAUCUGUAACGGAAAAUGGUGAGUAACGUCUUACUACUUUUCUUUGACAAGAGAAUUACUUCUUAGCUUUAAAAAGAUUUAAACGUCGUCUCGGCCAUUAGGAAAUGAAGAACUUUCCUCGGAAGAAACGAAAAUGAUAACAGCAACAACAUUUAAUUGAAGGAACGAAACGAACCUUCCACGUGGAUUUUUUCAAGUAAAUGAUUAAACGUGCCUUUUGAAUCAAAGAAAUUGCUUUUGAUUUGUCAACACUCGUCUUAAAUAUUUUUCUUCCGAAAACG